CAGGAGGGACACAUAGUAGAGACACAGGAGAAACAGGAGGGACACAUAGCAGAGACACAGGAGAAACAGGAGGGACACAUAGCAGAGACACAGGAGAAACAGGAGGGACACGAGGGACACGUAGCAGAGACACAGGAGAAACAGGAGGGACACGAGGGACACGUAGCAGAGACACAGGAGAAACAGGAGGGACACGUAGCAGAGACACAGGAGAAACAGGAGGGACACGUAGCAGAGACAUAGGAGAAACAGGAGGGACACGAGGGACACGUAGCAGAGACACAGGAGAAACAGGAGGGACACGUAGCAGAGACACAGGAGAAACAGGAGGGACACAUAGCAGAGACACAGGAGAAACAGGAGGGACACAUAGCAGAGACACAGGAGGGACACGAGGGACACGUAGCAGAGACACAGGAGAAACAGGAGGGACGCAUAGUAGAGACACAGGAGGGACACGUAGUAGAGACAUAGGAGAAACAGGAGGGACAGGAGGGACACGUAUUAGAGACAGAAGGGACGCGUAGUAGAAACAGGAGGGACGCGUAGUAGAAACAGGAGGGACGCGUAGUAGAAACAGGAGGGACGCGUAUUAGAGACAGAAGGGACGCGUAGUAGAAACAGGAGGGACGCGUAUUAGAGACAAGGGACGCGUAGUAGAAACAGGAGGGACUCGUAGUAGAAACAGUAGGGACGCGUAGUAGAAACAGGAGGGACGCGUAUUAGAGACAGAAGGGACGCGUAGUAGAAACAGGAGGGACGCGUAGUAGAAACACGAGGGACGCGUAGUAGAAACAGGAGGGACGCGUAUUAGAGACAGAAGGGACGCGUAGUAGAAACAGGAGGGACGCGUAGUAGAAACAGGAGGGACGCGUAGUAGAAACAGGAGGGACGCGUAGCAGAGACAGAAGGGACGCGUAGUAGAAACAGGAGGGACACGUAGCAGAGACAGAAGGACGCGUAGUAGAAACAGGAGGGACACGUAGUAGAAACAGGAGGGACGCGUAGUAGAAACACGUAGCAGAGACAUAGGAGGGUCACGUAUUAGAGACAGAAGGGACGCGUAGUAGAAACAGGAGGGACGCGUAGCAGAGACAGGAGGGACGCGUAGCAGAGACAGGAGGGACGCGUAGCAGAAACAGGAGGGACGCGUAGUAGAAACAGGAGGGACGCGUAGUAGAAACAGGAGGGACGCGUAUUAGAGACAGGAGGGAUACGUAGCAGAAACAGGAGGGACGCGUAGCAGAGACAGGAGGGACGCGUAGCAGAGACAGGAGGGACGCGUAGCAGAGACAGGAGGGACGCGUAGCAGAGACAGAAGGGACGCGUAGUAGAAACAGGAGGGACGCGUAGUAGAAACAGGAGGGACGCGUAGCAGAGACAGGAGGGACGCGUAGUAGAGACAGGAGGGACGCGUAGUAGAAACAGGAGGGACGCGUAGUAGGAACAGGAGGGACGCGUAGUAGAAACAGGAGGGACGCGUAGUAGAAACAGGAGGGACGCGUAGUAGAAACAGGAGGGACGCGUAGUAGAAACAGGAGGGACGCGUAGUAGGAACAGGAGGGACGCGUAGUAGAAACAGGAGGGACGCGUAGUAGAAACAGGAGGGACGCGUAGUAGAAACAGGAGGGACGCGUAGUAGGAACAGAAGGGACGCGUAGUAGAAACAGGAGGGACACGUAGCAGAGACAGAAGGGACGCGUAGUAGAAACAGGAGGGACACGUAGUAGAAACAGGAGGGACGCGUAGUAGAAACACGAGGGACGCGUAGUAGAAACAGGAGGGACGCGUAGUAGAAACAGGAGGGACGCGUAGUAGAAACAGGAGGGACGCGUAGUAGAAA